GCCAGCACGCUUGACAGAAAGAUAAAAGCUACUGUUAAGCUUGGAAAUGGAGAGGAAUUUGAAGGAGAAUCUGCUUAUCGUCCAAAGAUUUCCAACGCAACAUUCUUCACUCUAUUUGAUGCUGCAAAAAAUGCAAAAGAUCCAUCCGAAACCCCUUAUUGCAGACGAGGUUCACUCACUGACCCUGCUAUAAGAGGAAAGAUAGUAUUAUGUUCAGCACUCGGCCAUGUAGCCA
rnacentral:misc_RNA from 1 species